GAUGAACGCUGGCGGCGUACCUAAUACAUGCAAGUCGAGCGAACGGACGAGAAGCUUGCUUCUCUGAUGUUAGCGGCGGACGGGUGAGUAACACGUGGAUAACCUACCUAUAAGACUGGGAUAACUUCGGGAAACCGGAGCUAAUACCGGAUGAUAUUUUGCACCGCAUGGUUCAAAAGUGAAAGACGGUCUUGCUGUCACUUAUAGAUGGAUCCGCGCUGCAUUAGCUAGUUGGUAAGGUAACGGCUUACCAAGGCAACGAUGCAUAGCCGACCUGAGAGGGUGAUCGGCCACACUGGAACUGAGACACGGUCCAGACUCCUACGGGAGGCAGCAGUAGGGAAUCUUCCGCAAUGGGCGAAAGCCUGACGGAGCAACGCCGCGUGAGUGAUGAAGGUCUUCGGAUCGUAAAACUCUGUUAUUAGGGAAGAACAUAUGUGUAAGUAACUGUGCACAUCUUGACGGUACCUAAUCAGAAAGCCACGGCUAACUACGUG
rnacentral:rRNA from 1 species